rnacentral:lncRNA from 1 species
GUUCUUGGAAACUAAUGCAAUGUGCAUUGAUCUUGACCAGGUGUGGAAGUUCUUGUUAUCCAGUGGUAGAACAACCAUAAUCAGCGCCAAACUUUCAUUCGGAUGUAAAUAGCAAAGAUUUGUAGAGUUUGUCUCAAAAUCGGAGAAACAAUGGUGAUCAAUGAUUAGAUGAAACCGAUGAAGGAAGAAGAUGCAGAAGCUGCGGGAGAUUCAUUCGCUGAAAAUAUGAAGAAGAA